CCUACGGGCGGCAGCAGUAGGGAAUCUUCCACAAUGGGCGAAAGCCUGAUGGAGCAACGCCGCGUGGGUGAAGAAGGUCUUCGGAUCGUAAAACUCUGUUGUCAGAGAAGAAAGUGCGUGAGAGUAACUGUUCACGUUUCGACGGUAUCUAACCAGAAAGCCACGGCUAACUACGUGCCAGCAGCCGCGGUAAUACGUAGGUGGCAAGCGUUAUCCGGAUUUAUUGGGCGUAAAGGGAGCGCAGGCGUUCUUUUAAGUCUGAUGUGAAAGCCUUCGGCUUAACCGGGGUAGUGCAUUGGAAACUGGGAGACUUGAGUGCAGAAGAGGAGAGUGGAACUCCAUGUGUAGCGGUGAAAUGCGUAGAUAUAUGGAGGAACACCAGUGGCGAAAGCGGCUCUCUGGUCUGUAACUGACGCUGAGGUUCGAAAGCGUGGGUAGCAAACAGGAUUAGAUACCCUUGUAGUC
rnacentral:rRNA from 1 species